GUAGGUGAACCUGCGGAAGGAUCAUUAACACGUAUCCAUACGUAUUAUAUACCAAACCGUGAACUCGUUUGUAACAAUUGAAGGUGUGUGGUUGGGAAACUAACCUAGCAUCUGUAUCUUAUUACAAUCUUAUAAACCACUUGUAACCAAUCGAACUAAACCUAAGAAUGUGAUCAGCUAACGCUAGUUACAAUCUGUAUUUACGAAACGUAAAAACAAUUCUUAGCAACGGAUAUCUUGGUUCUC
rnacentral:misc_RNA from 1 species